rnacentral:rRNA from 1 species
AGCAGCCGCGGUAAUUCCAGCUCCAAUAGCGUAUAUUAAAGUUGUUGCAGUUAAAAAGCUCGUAGUUGAAUUUCGGGAUCAAUAUGUCGGUCGUGCCUUCGGUACGUACUGGCAUCAUUGGUUUCUCCCUUCUGACAAACCAUGAUGUCAUUAAUUUGGUGUUAUGGGGAGUUAGGACUGUUACUUUGAAAAAAUUAGAGUGUUUAAAGCAGGCAUUAGCUUGAAUACAUUAGCAUGGAAUAAUGAAAUAGGACGUUUGACCCUAUUUUGUUGGUUUCUAGGAUCGACGUAAUGAUUAAUAGGGAUAGUUGGGGGCAUUAGUAUUCAAUUGUCAGAGGUGAAAUUCUUGGAUUUAUUGAAGACUAACUACUGCGAAAGCAUUUGCCAAGGAUGUUUUCAUUAAUCAAGAACGAAAGUUAGGGGAUCGAAGACGAUCAGAUACCGUCGUAG